rnacentral:rRNA from 1 species
CUGAAACUUAAGCAUAUCAAUAAGCGGAGGAAAAGAAACCAACAGGGAUUGCCUUAGUAACGGCGAGUGAAGCGGCAACAGCUCAAAUUUGAAAUCUGGCCCCAGGCCCGAGUUGUAAUUUGCAGAGGAUGCUUUUGGCGCGGUGCCUUCCGAGUUCCCUGGAACGGGACGCCAUAGAGGGUGAGAGCCCCGUCUGGUUGGAUACCAAGCCUUUGUAAAGCUCCUUCGACGAGUCGAGUAGUUUGGGAAUGCUGCUCUAAAUGGGAGGUAUAUGUCUUCUAAAGCUAAAUACCGGCCAGAGACCGAUAGCGCACAAGUAGAGUGAUCGAAAGAUGAAAAGCACUUUGGAAAGAGAGUUAAACAGCACGUGAAAUUGUUAAAAGGGAAGCGUUUAUGACCAGACUUGGGCCGGUUAAUCAUCCAGCGUUCUCGCUGGUGCACUUUGCCGGUCCAGGCCAGCAUCAGUUCGCUGCGGGGGAUAAAGGCGUCGGGAAUGUGGCUCCUCUGGAGUGUUAUAGCCCUUCGCGCAAUACCCUGCGGUGGACUGAGGUUCGCGCAUCUGCAAGGAUGCUGGCGUAAUGGUCAUCAACGACCCGUCUUGAAACACGGACCAAGGAGUCGUCUUCGUAUGCGAGUGUUCGGGUGUAAAACCCCUACGCGUAAUGAAAGUGAACGCAGGUGAGAGCUUCGGCGCAUCAUCGACCGAUCCUGAUGUUCUCGGAUGGAUUUGAGUAAGAGCAUACGGGGCCGGACCCGAAAGAAGGUGAACUAUGCCUGUAUAGGGUGAAGCCAGAGGAAACUCUGGUGGAGGCUCGCAGCGGUUCUGACGUGCAAAUCGAUCGUCAAAUAUGGGCAUGGGGGCGAAAGACUAAUCGACU